rnacentral:lncRNA from 1 species
GGAGAACCGAUGGACCGUCACUUCACCCGUCAACCAGAUGCUGAAAGUCAAGUUCACUGGAAUGAGUUGAUGGACAAGUCAACAGACCAUCAAAUCAAUGAUGGACCGUCAACCAAACCAUCACAGUAAAGCAGAAUUACAUUUCUCUGGUAAGCCGCGACGCCCAACCUGGUGAACUGUCGCAAACCUGACGAACCAUCAUGUCAAUCGUUAAUUUAACCCUAGUUCUUGGUCGGG